rnacentral:rRNA from 1 species
GACGAACGCUGGCGGCGUGCUUAACACAUGCAAGUCGAACGGAAAGGCCCUGCUUGCAGGGUGCUCGAGUGGCGAACGGGUGAGUAACACGUGGGUGAUCUGCCCCUUACUUUGGGAUAAGCCUGGGAAACUGGGUCUAAUACUGGAUAGGACCAUGCUGUAGGUGGUGUGGUGGAAAGAUUAGUUUCGGUAAGGGAUGAGCUCGCGGCCUAUCAGCUUGUUGGUGGGGUAAUGGCCUACCAAGGCGUCGACGGGUAGCCGGCCUGAGAGGGUGGACGGCCACAUUGGGACUGAGAUACGGCCCAGACGCCUACGGGAGGCAGCAGUGGGGAAUAUUGCACAAUGAGCGCAAGCCGGAUGCAGCGACGCCGCGUGGGGGAUGACGGCCUUCGGGUUGUAAACUCCUUUCAGCCAUGACGAAGCCCUUGUGGUGACGGUAGUGGUAGAAGAAGCACCGGCUAACUACGUG